UCGUUUACGGUAAUUCCAGCUCCAAUAGCGUAUAUUAAAGUUGUUGCAGUUAAAAAGCUCGUAGUUGAACUUUGGGCCCGGGCGGGCGGUCUACCUAUGGUAAGCACUGUUGCGGCCGGGUCUUUCCUUCUGGCUAGCCUCCCCUGUGGGCGGCGAACCAGGACGAUUACUUUGAGGAAAUUAGAGUGUUCAAAGCAGGCCUUUGCUCGAAUAUAUUAGCAUGGAAUAAUAGAAUAGGACGUAUGGUUCUAUUUUGUUGGUUUCUAGGACCAUCGUAAUGAUUAAUAGGGACGGUCGGGGGCAUCAGUAUUCAGUCGUCAGAGGUGAAAUUCUUGGAUUGACUGAAGACUAACUACUGCGAAAGCAUUUGCCAAGGACGUUUUCAUUAAUCAAGAACGAAAGUUAGGGGAUCGAAGAUGAUCAGAUACCGUCGUAGUCUUAACC
rnacentral:rRNA from 1 species